rnacentral:rRNA from 1 species
UACGGAGGGGACUAGCGUUGUUCGGAAUUACUGGGCGUAAAGCGCACGUAGGCGGAUUUGUAAGUCAGGGGUGAAAUCCCGGGGCUCAACCUCGGAACUGCCUUUGAUACUGCAAAUCUCGAGUCCGGAAGAGGUGAGUGGAAUUUCUAGUGUAGAGGUGAAAUUCGUAGAUAUUAGGAAGAACACCAGUGGCGAAGGCGGCUCACUGGUCCGGUACUGACGCUGAGGUGCGAAAGCGUGGGGAGCAAACAGG